ACCAGGCGACGUGUUCUGAAGACACCACUGAUCUCGACAAGAGGCGCAACAUUUCAGAGAAAUUCACAAUUCAGGGUAAUCAUAUCUACCUACGGGGGAAGGAUGGCCAGCCACACAGGAGGGUGAUUUUUGCUAAGGAGGAGAAGGAGGCCGUGCUGACUGUGAYGCUUGCUGGCCAAUUCAGUGAAGCGCCUGAUUGCCAAAAUCAACCUACGCUUCUUCUGACAGGGAAUUGUCAAGGAGRUGGACAGCUGGGCAAGUGAAAUAACCUUUUGUUUAUCAAUCAMAUUCUAUUAUACGUGAAAUUAUUAUGAUUUCAAUGAAUGUCAUAUCAGAGAGCACACAAUGUUUCYAUUUGUCACGUUGUGCUUGAAGGUAAGUACCUGUCUAGCCUGCCAGAAGUUUGAGAGGGCGAAGACUGUGGCGCCGGAGUUGAAGCCCAUCAGUUGUUUCACCAUGGCACAUGGACGGGAUGGACCUCAUCGGCCCCUUCACGAAAUCCAGGAAAGGCAACAGCUGGUGUCUGACGGCAACYGAUCACUUUACCAAUGAGACCACCUCCAAGGAUAUGGUGGACAUCUUCAACACCCACGGUUCUCCUGAGGUCAUCUUGAGUGACCGAGGACAUUAACCCUGGAACAAGGUGAGGCUGAACAUGGACAAGGCGCAGGAGAAACAGAAGGAGAGCUACCGGAGCAGAGUCAAGAAGGGGACCAAGUGCUACGACAUCCGGGCGAAUUACUUGGUUUGGAAGAAGGACGAAAGGAAGGCAGAGACCUUGGAAACCUCGCUGCUCCUAGCUGUGGUCACCAUCUGUUAAAGAAGCCAACUAUCUUCUACAGUUGAAGCAGUUGGACGGUCUACCACUGGAAGCAUUGACGCCCUACACUUCAGUGAAGCCCAAAUGACAAAGACCAUCGACUGUCCGAGCCCCCCAGGAGGUAUCCCAUCUACCAGAACCAGUGAGUUCGGAUCAGUCUGAUUCGCUGUGCUCUGAGUCAGAGGGGGACCAGCUUGAGAGCUAGGGGUUUUGGCCAACACCCAGACCCACCUGAUGUCCUCCAUUACCAACCACCCUCCAACUUUUCAUUACAUCAUCUAYAGCUACUGUUGUCAUUACAUCAUCUGCAGCUACGGUUGUCAUUAUCUGCUAAGAAAGUUGUCUUGAUCUAUAAUACUGGGCACAUAAUAUGUGAGAGACACAGAUGAACUAAAAACACUAGCACUGCAAAUACUCUGAACAAACCGAACAGCAGUGCCUGGACUUUGCAGUCUCCUUCAAGUCCCCCUUCUGAGACUGGGUGCCUGUUGAGAACAAGUGACAGGCAGAAUCUCCCACCCACACAGCMACCACCUCCACUAUAUUCCACACACCAGAAUGAUGUAUUUAGUCUGAUUGCCAUGUGAAAAUAAAUUAAUGACAACUGUACCAAAAAAUAUCAAGGUUUCUGUGUUCCAAUCUUAAAUAUUGACRGGUUGGUUUUCACAUGUUCAUUGAAUUUAGUAAAUCCUGCCGUAGGGAUAGCGUGCCUCUCACAGGUGAGGGCAACGACCUCUUCCUUGAGUCUGAGAGCUGAUCCCUCCUUUGUUCUAGCAAGACCCACACAGUAGUACACACCACCACACUCACUGUCGCUUGUCUGCCUCUUUUAUUUUUUUUGCUAUUUGAUUUAGAAUUUUCAGAC